rnacentral:rRNA from 1 species
GAUGAACGCUGGCGGCGUGCCUAAUACAUGCAAGUCGAGCGAACAGACGAUGAGCUUGCUCCUCUGACGUUAGCGGCGGACGUGUGAGUAACACGUGUAUAACCUACCUAUCAGACUGGGAUCACUUCGGGAAACCGGAGCUAAUACCGGAUAAUCUAUUGAACCGCAUGGUUCAAUAGUGAAAUACGGUUUUUCUGUCACUUCUCGCUGGAUCCGCGCCGCAUUAGAUAGUUGGUAAGGUAACGGCCUACCAAGGCAAGGAUGCGUAGCCGACGUGAGAGGGGGAUAGGCGGCACUGGAGGGUGAACAGCGACCAGACGACUAAGAGAGGGAGCAGAAGGGAAUGUGACGCAAUGGGGGGAAGCAUGAAGGAGUAACGCCGAGUGAGAGACGAAGGUGUUCGGAGCGUAAAAAUCGGUUAUGAGGGAAGAACAGAUGUGGAAGUAAAUAUGCACGGAGUGACGGUAACUGGUAAGAAAGCCACGGCUAACUACGUG